rnacentral:rRNA from 1 species
GACGUAGGGGGCCAGCGUUGUUCGGAAUUACUGGGUGUAAAGGGUUCGUAGGCGGUGUGGCAAGUCGGGAGUGAAAUCUCUGGGCUCAACCCAGAGUCUGCUUCCGAAACUGCUGUGCUUGAGUGUGGGAGAGGCGCGUGGAAUUGCAGGUGUAGCGGUGAAAUGCGCAGAUAUCGGGAGGAACACCGGUGGCGAAGGCGGUUCUCUGGGCCUUACCUGACGCUGAGGAGCGAAAGCGUGGGGAGCGAACAGG